CCCGCUGAACUUAAGCAUAUCAAUAAGCGGAGGAAAAGAAACUAACAAGGAUUCCCCUAGUAACGGCGAGUGAAGCGGGAUGAGCUCAAAUUUGAAAUCUGGCUGGUUUACUAGUCCGAGUUGUAAUUUAAAGAAGCGUUUUCGGUGGCAGCCUGGGUAUAAAUCCUUUGGAAUAGGGUAUCAUAGAGGGUGAGAAUCCCGUCUUUGACCUAGUGCAUGCUACUAUGUGAUACGUUUUCAAAGAGUCGAGUUGUUUGGGAAUGCAGCUCAAAAUGAGUGGUAAAUUUCAUCUAAAGCUAAAUAUUGGCGAGAGACCGAUAGCGAACAAGUACCGUGAGGGAAAGAUGAAAAGAACUUUGAAAAGGGAGUUAAACAGUACGUGAAAUUGCUGAAAGGGAAACGCUUGAAGUUAGUCACAUUGGCAAGAGAUCAACCUGGCUUUGCUUGGUGUAUUCUCUAGUUAAUGGGUCAACAUCAGUUUUGACCAUUGGAUAAGAGUUAGAGGAAUGUGGCUCCUUUAUGAGUGUUAUAGACUUUAGCUGUAUACAAUGGUUGGGACUGAGGCUCUCAGCACGCCUUUAUGGCCGGGUUUUAACCACGUACGUGCUUAGGAUGUUGGCAUAAUAGCUUUAAGUGACCCGUCUUGAAACACGG
rnacentral:rRNA from 1 species